ACUCAAAUGAAUUGACGGGGGCCCGCACAAGCAGCGGAGCGUGUGGUUUAAUUCGAUGCAACGCGAAGAACCUUACCUAGGCUUGACAUGGAUGUGGUACCGACCUGAAAGGGAAGGGACCCGCAAGGGAGCAUUCACAGAUGCUGCAUGGCUGUCGUCAGCUCGUGCCGUGAGGUGUUGGGUUAAGUCCCGCAACGAGCGCAACCCCCGUCGUCAGUUAAAUUCUCUGGCGAGACCGCCGGUACAAACCGGAGGAAGGUGGGGAUGACGUCAAGUCAGCACGGCUCUUACGUCUAGGGCUACACACACGCUACAAUGGCCGGUACAACGGGCUGCGAAGGGGCGACCUGGAGCUAAUCCCAACAAAGCCGGUCUCAGUUCGGAUUGUAGGCUGAAACUCGCCUGCAUGAAGUCGGAGUUGCUAGUAACCGCUGGUCAGCACACAGCGGUGAAUACGUUCCCGGGCCUUGCACACACCGCCCGU
rnacentral:rRNA from 1 species